ACGAACGCUGGCGGCGUGCCUAAUACAUGCAAGUAGAACGCUGAAGAGAGGAGCUUGCUCUUCUUGGAUGAGUUGCGAACGGGUGAGUAACGCGUAGGUAACCUGCCUUGUAGCGGGGGAUAACUAUUGGAAACGAUAGCUAAUACCGCAUAACAAUGGAUGACACAUGUCAUUUAUUUGAAAGGGGCAAUUGCUCCACUACAAGAUGGACCUGCGUUGUAUUAGCUAGUAGGUGAGGUAAUGGCUCACCUAGGCGACGAUACAUAGCCGACCUGAGAGGGGGAUCGGCCACACUGGGACUGAGACACGGCCCAGACUCCUACGGGAGGCAGCAGUAGGGAAUCUUCGGCAAUGGGGGCAACCCUGACCGAGCAACGCCGCGUGAGUGAAGAAGGUUUUCGGAUCGUAAAGUUCUGUUGUAAGUCAAGAACGGGUGUGAGAGUGGAAAGUUCACACUGUGACGGUAGCUUACCAGAAAGGGACGGCUAACUACGUG
rnacentral:rRNA from 1 species